rnacentral:rRNA from 1 species
CUUCUUUAGUAGGCUGGUAAGAAAAAGGGUUGGGUCGUGAUGUGUAGGCGACGGAGGAGAGUAGGAGACGUACCCGCGCGUGGGGGUAGGAGGGGUUGGACCAGCGGCCGCCCGGCGACGAGGGAGAGGAGGUAGAGACGUGCCCGCGCGUGGGGGUAAGAGGGGUUGGAUCAGCGGCCGGUCGGGGAUGCGCUGCAGCAAGUAGCUCGAUCCCAACCUCGUCGAGCCGCCGCUACUCCUCGUCCGGUCGGGAGAGUUCUCCCAGCAGGUGUGGCAACGGCAACCACUGAAAGUCCCCGUCAGCCGUGGAGAGGAGAGAUUAGCGCUGAGGCCGCUGCAGCCGGUCCUGCAAGCGGUAGCCGCGUUUGCGCCACCUCUACAUCCCGAGGAACUCCCUCUCCAGCUACGACUCAACACGGACAACUUCGUGCUGCCUCUCCCCCUCCGGAAGGCCGGUGGCGGCCGCAGGCGGUACCCCGGCAGAGUCGGAGUCGAAGACUAGCUCCACGUCGAGGUCGUCGUGGCCGUCAAACGACGCCCAGUAGUAGUCUCGCGUCAAGUAGAAGGUUUAGUACGGGGCUGGGGCCGACGUAGAGGGGAAGGCGGUGUACUUGCGGAACCCACACCAGAAAAUCAGGAGUGACCACUCGGGGAGGUAUAAUAAAACAUAUCCCGAAGUCGCCGACGACGAACGAAGACAAAAUCCACCAACGGCGAAACUGUCCGCAAACACUUCGCUUAGUCCAAGCAAGAAGCCAAGCGACUUCACCGGCCCCUAAUAAGGCCUGCACCCUGAGACUCCGCGGCGAAGAAGCACCCAUAAAACAACGACGAAAACAAAGAAAUAACCUAUACGGAGGUUAAAUUCGCGCGACCGCUACCGUUCUUCAAGCCGCACCUUUCGCUGGUCUACCAAGGAAAGCACCAUAAACUGGCCGACACGUCACACGUCAGCUCAUCACACUGGAGUCCGACCUGCCUUGCUCGCCCGAAAACCCGGACGAGCACCGGACAAUUCCUGGCCUGGCAUGCCAAGUCCUGGCCGCCUUUUUGACCAGCCAGGCCCGACCGUAAAAGCCGGGCUUUUUUAGAGCCAGCCAGGCCAGAAAUUGGCUCGGCGAGCCAGUCUGGCUCUUCUGCGUCAGUGGCGACCGUGGCAAGGAGCAGUAGCGCCGGUAGCCGUCAGGGGCCCACUUGGUAGCACAGGAACUCGAAGGAGAGAAGUAGGAAGGAGAAGUGGGGUACGCGGCACCGGAGAACGGCGACGAACGGUAACAACAACACGCACGUGAUGACGGCUAGACCUCAAGAGCUCGGAGCUGGUACCGGAGAUGAGUUUCCUUGCCCUUAACGCCGGCACGGUAGGGUGCAGGUGCUCGACUUUAGCACGGUAGGGUGCUGGAGGGUGUUGCCGGAGUAGAUUGAUUGGACUUUGAUUCUAUUCUGCACCUAUACGUGUGGAACGUACCGCGCAAUAAAGUCGUGUCGUACGUGUGGCCGGUCCGCCGGUGGUCGAUGGGUCCAUCCGCUUGCGGUGCGACCACGGUGUCCUUCUUGACCCCGUGCUAGAGCUUACGAGACUUUCACCGGGCCAAUAUAGCUUAAUGCUCGACUUAUUUUCCUUCUCGUCUUUCUGUCAACACGCAGCGUCUUAGGAGAGGUGAAUUACGCAAGCACGCACAGAAGAAAGAGAAAAUGAAAGAGCGCACUGGAGGGCACACACACAACUAAGUCAAGAACUAGAUUGUGCAUCGGGUGGAGCUUCGACGUACGCGCGUGUAGUUGCGGCUACCGACCGGCCAGGUAAGCCAGGUAAGCCAGAUCGGGCCCGAAGUGGCAGCGGCCAGGCCAGGUAUUUUCAUCCUGGCGAGCCAACGAGCCAGGCCAGGCCAGGCCUGGCGGCGGCCGGCCAGGCUUGCUGCCGAGCCAGUUCCUGGCCUGGCCUGGCCUGGCACAGGUGGGAUUCACACUGGACUACUAAAAAAUAAAGGCAGAAACCAAAGGCCAAGACUACCAAACCCCCUAGAGACGAGGGACACGAUACACUAGAAUAAAAACCUUUAUACGGGAUCUCCGUUAUUAUUUAAUCAAUAAUAAUAUAAAGGAACAAGUACUAUUAGCAAAUAAUAGGUACGAUAUUAACAUGACUUUCCUUUGAGUCUAUGUACACACCCAUGUAUCUGUUGUGGUACAGGGAUCAUUCGGAGAUCAACUGAUCGAGCAACUAGUUAUCUACCAAUGCCAAAGGACUGGUACCUGUAACCUACAGCAACUAUUGCCCUAGUGUAGUAAUCCUCUUACUACACUACUUGUUCUGGGUUAGGAUUCGGAUCGUGUUUCUAGCAUCAAGCAUACGAUUUCGAAAAGAUUACAGUUCAUAGUAAAGGAAUCUGGUACUCUAACACGUUAAGGGCCUAUGGCAUCCUUACGAAACCCACAUGGUUUGUAGUGUUGCAUUGACCCACCGAUAUUUCCACGUGAUGUCCAUAGAGGCUUUCACAGAUAACCCAACCGUACUUAGCUCUGACCCUAAACAGUGAGGCACAUUUGCCUCUCCAUAGAGACCCGGGUGAGCCAUCCUGUAGUAGUAUUACACGUGUUACACUGUUUCCCCAACUAGUGCCCUACUACACAAUGCCUUGCUCAUUUCUCUGAACGGCCAUUGCUCUAACUUGUUCCAUAGCCCUAUGGCUGCUAGCUUAGGGCCCGUUCAUGUUAUGGUGAUCUGUUUCCUUUAACAUAUGCCCUAACUAACUCAGGAACUGUAGCACCAAGUAGGCUACUCUAGUAGCACCUUGUACACCCUCGGUUGUACCCAUAGGUCUAGGGCGACAACCAAUAACUGGCCUCUUGCAGAGCCAGUACAGACGUACCAAGGGCUUGGGCAUCCCAGAUGUGUGAAUUCCAAGCUACUGCGAUCCCAAUAUUUCCUUCAAACAUACACCAAUGGCUUACAACAAGCCUCAGGGCCUACUCUAGGGCCUGCAGUGCUCCUCAAGGCCUUACCAGGCCUCCAUUUCUAAAUAUAUACCUUUCAACAACAAGCCCAAGGCCCUUUUCAAGCCAAAAAAGGCCAUAACAUGGCCCUUCGAAGGCCUUCCAAGGCUCCUAAGGCCUCCCCAGGCCUCCAGGCUUUUUACAAGGUGGUGCAGGUUAUGUCGUCGUACCCAACAUUCCCCCACGGGAUCGGAAUUACCCGGUCCCCGUGGUCGGGGGUUCCGGGUACGCGUACCCUCUCCCCUUUGGGAUUCCCCCUCCCGGAGGUGAACUGAACCCUCCGUACAACCUUUAUACGGGAUCUCCGUUAUUAUUUU